GACGAACGCUGGCGGCAUGCCUAACACAUGCAAGUCGAGCGAGCAGAUCCCUUCGGGGUGAAGCUAGCGGCGGACGGGUGAGUAACACGUGGGCCACCUACAUCAUAGAGGGGAAUAGCCUUCCGAAAGGAAGAUUAAUGCCGCAUAAGAUUGUAGCUUCGCAUGAAGAAGCAAUUAAAGGACCAAUCCGCUAUGGGAUGUGCCCGCGGCGCAUUAGCUAGUUGGUGAGGUAACGGCUCACCAAGGCGACGAUGCGUAGCCGUACUGAGAGGGUGAUCGGCCACAUUGGGACUGAGACACGGCCCAGACUCCUACGGGAGGCAGCAGUGGGGAAUAUUGCACAAUGGGGGAAACCCUGAUGCAGCAAUGCCGCGUGAGUGACGACGGCCUUCGGGUUGUAAAGCUCUGUCUUCGGGGACGAUAAUGACGGUACCCGAGGAGGAAGCCACGGCUAACUACGUGCCAGCCGCCGCCGUAA
rnacentral:rRNA from 1 species